AGGGAAUAUUGGGCAAUGGAUGCAAGUCUGACCCAGCCAUGCCGCGUGCCGGAUGAAGGCCCUCAGGGUUGUAAACGGCUUUUAUUCGGGAAGAAGAGCAGGGAUGCGUCCUUGUGUGACGGUACCGAAUGAAUAAGCACCGGCUAACUCCGUGCCAGCAGCCGCGGUAAUACGUAGGGUGCAAGCGUUGCCCGGAUUUAUUGGGCGUAAAGGGCGUGUAGGCGGCAGGGCAAGUCAUGCGUGAAAUCUCCCGGCUCAACUGGGAGGGGUCGCGUGAUACUGCUCGGCUUGAGCAAGGUAGGGGGCAGUGGAAUUCCCGGUGUAGUGGUGGAAUGCGUAGAUAUCGGGAGGAACACCAGUGGCGAAGGCGGCUGCCUGGACCUUUGCUGACGCUAAGGCGCGAAAGCGUGGGGAGCGAU
rnacentral:rRNA from 1 species